UUUCAGCCCUUCGACUCAUAUAAAUCUGACGAGAGCUCAUCAUCAGAAUAUCAACCUUACUUUAAUUCCGACAAAUCAGAUUACUCGCCCUACAAAUCUUGGAAGCCCAGUAGCUUUAAGAAAUCCCUAUUCAGCAAAAGCAAUAGUCAGGACAACUUCGAUGAUGACAGCAAUUAAACAAGUAUUAAUUAGUUAACGGACGGCGCUCAAGUACUCACGAAUGCAGGAAUUUUAUUUAAAUAGCAAAUUAAAAUGCCAAUAAAGGCGAUGUUGCAGCAAUGAA